AUUGAACGCUGGCGGCAGGCCUAACACAUGCAAGUCGAACGAGUGGCGGACGGGUGAGUAAUGUCUGGGAAACUGCCUGAUGGAGGGGGAUAACUACUGGAAACGGUAGCUAAUACCGCAUACCAUCAGAUGUGCCCAGAUGGGAUUAGCUAGUAGGUGGGGUAAAGGCGCACCUAGGCGACGAUCCCUAGCUGGUCUGAGAGGAUGACCAGCAACACUGGAACUGAGACCCGGUCCAGACUCCUACGGGAGGCAGCAGUGGGGAAUAGUGCACAAUGGGGGCAAGCCUGAUGCAGCCAUGCCGCGUGUAUGAAGAAGGCCUUCGGGUUGUAAAGUACUUUCAGCGUGGAGGCGUUACCCGCAGAAGAAGCACCGGCUAACUCCGUGCCAGCAGGCGCGGUAAUUC
rnacentral:rRNA from 1 species